UUUUCUGCACACACCAACCCACAUAUAAAAAAAAAGAGAGAGAGUACAAAUAAGUACAAGGGAGAUUAGAUAAAGCAGGACGAGGGAAAUCACACCACUCAAACACCACAGUCAACACUUUACUUUCCAAAUCAAUAAGGUUAUCUCCGCAAGUAAGGUCGGAGUAAGAGAUUCAAGUAAGGAAAGUAAGCGAUCAAGGUUGAGUCGUGGAAAGGGGGAGGGACAAGUGCUGUGGAUAGCAAGCUAGUAACUAACUAUGAAUAAAACUCUCGGAGGUUCAUGUCUCCACACAUGGACCGCGUUCUUUUGUUUCCGCUAUGCCAGUUAAAAGGAAAUGCCUAUUUUACUUUUGACUCUGAUAAACAGGAGUUGUAUGAACAGUCACUCGAUUCUGUAUAAUCGAGUGUAUUUUGUUAUAAGUAUUUUCCCUGCUUGACUUUA